rnacentral:rRNA from 1 species
GAUCUGGCUCAGGAUGAACGCUAGCUACAGGCUAACACAUGCAAGUCGAGGGGCAGCAUGUUGGUUGCUUGCAACCAAUGAUGGCGACCGGCGCACGGGUGAGUAACGCGUAUCCAACCUUCCCUAUAGUAGAGGAUAGCCCGGCGAAAGUCGGAUUAAUACUCUAUGUUUUCCAAUGCAGACAUCUAAGUUGGAACAAAGGUUCACCGCUAUAGGAUGGGGAUGCGUCUGAUUAGAUAGUCGGCGGGGUAACGGCCCACCGAGUCGACGAUCAGUAGGGGUUCUGAGAGGAAGGUCCCCCACAUUGGAACUGAGACACGGUCCAAACUCCUACGGGAGGCAGCAGUGAGGAAUGUUGGUCAAUGGGCGAGAGCCUGAACCAGCCAAGUAGCGUUGCAGGAUGACGGCCCUAUGGGUUGUAAACUGCUUUUAUACAGGGAUAAAGUGACGUACGUGUACGUUUUUGUAGGUACUGUAUGAAUAAGGACCGGCUAAUUCCGUGCCAGCAGCCGC